GUAAAAAGUACUCGAGACCCAGACUUGAGUAAAAGUACAAGUGUUCUAUCAAAAAGGGACUUGAGUAGAAGUUGAAGUGCUCUUUUAGCACCACACUUAAGUGGAAGUACUGAAGUAUUCAACAUUUUUUGUGCUUAAGUAUUCAAA